rnacentral:misc_RNA from 1 species
UCCGAGUUGUCCCCGGCAGUCCCCUUAGAGUCCCCGGCAUUACCCGCUGGCAACUAAGAGCAGGGGUUGCGCUCGUUGCGGCACUUAAGCCAACAUCUCACGACACGAACUGACGACAGCCAUGCAGCACCUCACUACCGACCCGAAGGAAACCCCCUUUCAGGGGCUGUCCGGUAGUGUUCGAGCCUAGGUAAGGUUCUUCGCGUUGCAUCGAAUUAAACCACAUGCUCCACCGCUUGUGCGGGCCCCCGUCAAUUUCUUUGAGUUUUAACCUUGCGGCCGUACUCCCCAGGCGGAUGACUUAACGCGUUAGCUACGGCACGGAACCCGUUGGAAAGGCCCCACACCUAGUGCCCAACGUUUACGGCGUGGACUAC